AUUUUUUAGGGAUGUUCUUGUAAUCUUGUUUAGUUGGCACCUUGAUUGUGCAGGGAAUUACCUUAGGCACCGACUUCGCUGCCUUCGUGAGCUUAGACAAGUCAUGCACUUCUAUAGUGUGUUCUCGUCCAAUGGCUGACAUAAAUUUGGUGGUGCCAGCUAUUUUUUUCUUUGGCAUGUAUGGGGAAAUCAACUUUGGCAUCGGAAAUUUUUUCGUUGGCUUUUUUGGUGGGGAAGGAUAUUUGAGUUGUGGGGAAGGUGUGGAAUUUAAUGGUGGCGGAGAGCAUGGUGGGAUAGAAAGAUCAUCAUUGGGAGGUGAUGGUUGAGGGUCACGAAGAGAAAGAGGAAGUGAUGGUUGACUGUCAGGAAGAGACUGGGGAGGUGUUGAUGGCGCUGGGUUAGGAUGAGGAUUGACGGGUGCUGACAACUCCUAAGUGGGUGGUAUGUCUUGAGAGGAUGGUGGU
rnacentral:lncRNA from 1 species